rnacentral:rRNA from 1 species
UACGUAGGGUGCGAGCGUUUGUCCGGAAUUAUUGGGCGUAAAGGGCUCGUAGGCGGUUUGUCGCGUCGGGAGUGAAAACUCAGGGCUUAACCCUGAGCCUGCUUCCGAUACGGGCAGACUAGAGGUAUGCAGGGGAGAACGGAAUUCCUGGUGUAGCGGUGAAAUGCGCAGAUAUCAGGAGGAACACCGGUGGCGAAGGCGGUUCUCUGGGCCUUACCUGACGCUGAGGAGCGAAAGCAUGGGGAGCAAACAGG